rnacentral:rRNA from 1 species
GAUGAACGCUGGCGGCGUGCCUAAUACAUGCAAGUCGAGCGAACAGACGAGGAGCUUGCUCCUCUGACGUUAGCGGCGGACGGGUGAGUAACACGUGGAUAACCUACCUAUAAGACUGGGAUAACUUCGGGAAACCGGAGCUAAUACCGGAUAAUAUAUUGAACCGCAUGGUUCAAUAGUGAAAGACGGUUUUGCUGUCACUUAUAGAUGGAUCCGCGCCGCAUUAGCUAGUUGGUAAGGUAACGGCUUACCAAGGCAACGAUGCGUAGCCGACCUGAGAGGGUGAUCGGCCACACUGGAACUGAGACACGGUCCAGACUCCUGCGGGAGGCAGCAGUAGGGAAUCUUCCGCAAUGGGCGAAAGCCUGACGGAGCAACGCCGCGUGAGUGAUGAAGGUCUUCGGAUCGUAAAACUCUGUUAUUAGGGAAGAACAAAUGUGUAAGUAACUAUGCACGUCUUGACGGUACCUAAUCAGAAGGCCACGGCUAACUACGUG